AUUGAACGCUGGCGGCAGGCCUAACACAUGCAAGUCGAACGGUAACAGGAAGCAGCUUGCUGCUUCGCUGACGAGUGGCGGACGGGUGAGUAAUGUCUGGGAAACUGCCUGAUGGAGGGGGAUAACUACUGGAAACGGUAGCUAAUACCGCAUAACGUCGCAAGACCAAAGAGGGGGACCUUAGGGCCUCUUGCCAUCGGAUGUGCCCAGAUGGGAUUAGCUAGUAGGUGGGGUAACGGCUCACCUAGGCGACGAUCCCUAGCUGGUCUGAGAGGAUGACCAGCCACACUGGAACUGAGACACGGUCCAGACUCCUACGGGAGGCAGCAGUGGGGAAUACUGCACAAUGGGCGCAAGCCUGAUGCAGCCAUGCCGCGUGUAUGAAGAAGGCCUUCGGGUUGUAAAGUACUUUCAGCGGGGAGGAAGGGAGUAAAGUUAAUACCUUUGCUCAUUGACGUUACCCGCAGAAGAAGCACCGGCUAACUCCGUG
rnacentral:rRNA from 1 species